UCUUCCCUACGGGGCGCAGCAGUGAGGAAUAUUGGUCAAUGGGCGCGAGCCUGAACCAGCCAAGUCGCGUGAGGGAGGACGGUCCUACGGGUUGUAAACCUCUUUUGCCGGGGAGCAACGGGCGUCACGUGUGGCGCCACUGAGAGUACCCGGAGAAAAAGCAUCGGCUAACUCCGUGCCAGCAGCCGCGGUAAUACGGAGGAUGCGAGCGUUAUCCGGAUUCAUUGGGUUUAAAGGGUGCGCAGGCGGGCCUUUAAGCCGGCGGUGAAAUCGCGGGGCCCCACCCCCCC
rnacentral:rRNA from 1 species